GUGGGGAAUAUUGGACAAUGGGGGCAACCCUGAUCCAGCCAUGCCGCGUGUGUGAAGAAGGCCUUUUGGUUGUAAAGCACUUUAAGCAGGGAGGAGAGGCUAAUGGUUAAUACCCAUUAGAUUAGACGUUACCUGCAGAAUAAGCACCGGCUAACUCUGUGCCAGCAGCCGCGGUAAUACAGAGGGUGCGAGCGUUAAUCGGAAUUACUGGGCGUAAAGCGAGUGUAGGUGGCUCAUUAAGUCACAUGUGAAAUCCCCGGGCUUAACCUGGGAACUGCAUGUGAUACUGGUGGUGCUAGAAUAUGUGAGAGGGAAGUAGAAUUCCAGGUGUAGCGGUGAAAUGCGUAGAGAUCUGGAGGAAUACCGAUGGCGAAGGCAGCUUCCUGGCAUAAUAUUGACACUGAGAUUCGAAAGCGUGGGUAGCAAACAGGAUUAGAAACCCCAGUAGUCC
rnacentral:rRNA from 1 species